rnacentral:rRNA from 1 species
UACGUAGGGUGCAAGCGUUGUCCGGAAUUAUUGGGCGUAAAGAGCUCGUAGGCGGUCUGUCGCGUCUGCUGUGAAAUCUCCGGGCUUAACUCGGAACGGCCAAGUGAAACUGUCAAGCUAGAGUGCAGAAGGGGCAAUCGGAAUUCUUGGUGUAGCGGUGAAAUGCGUAGAUAUCAAGAGGAACACCUGAGGUGAAGACGGGUUGCUGGGCUGACACUGACGCUGAGGCGCGAAAGCCAGGGGAGCAAACGGG